rnacentral:rRNA from 1 species
CCUACGGGAGGCAGCAGUGAGGAAUAUUGGUCAAUGGGCGCUAGCCUGAACCAGCCAAGUAGCGUGAAGGAUGACUGCCCUAUGGGUUGUAAACUUCUUUUAUAUGGGAAUAAAGUGCAGUAUGUAUACUGCUUUGCAUGUACCUUAUGAAUAAGGAUCGGCUAACUCCGUGCCAGCAGCCGCGGUAAUACGGAGGAUCCGAGCGUUAUCCGGAUUUAUUGGGUUGAAAGGGAGCGUAGGCGGGUUGUUAAGUCAGUUGUGAAAGUUUGCGGCUCAACCGUAAAAUUGCAGUUGAUACUGGCAGCCUUGAGUACAGUAGAGGUAGGCGGAAUUCGUGGUGUAGCGGUGAAAUGCUUAGAGAUCACGAAGAACUCCGAUUGCGAAGGCAGCCUGCUGGACUGUAACUGACGCUGAUGCUCGAAAGUGUGGGUAUCAAACAGGAUUAGAUACCCGUAUAGUC